CAUUUGUUUUUCAGUUUUGUGCGUUAUUAUUUUACAUGUGUUUUUAAAUUUUUGAUUUAUGCUUAUUAUUUUUUCGAUCUGUGACUGCAAUACAUUUGGCGGGAUUCUGAUCCCAUAGUCGUCACUGUUCCCAACUAAUAAGUUAGUCUUGCUAACAUCUGAGCACGGUCCACGUUAUUCACUCACAUUUUCAUUUUUUGUCAUACAACUAAGAGUGUAAGUACAUAAUUUCACACUGUAGGUAUGUUUUAUCUGCAUAAAAAAUGGUGCUUUUGCACAAUAAAAAUAAAACUUUGCCCUGAGGCAUCAAAAAUGGACCUAAACUAAGCGAGUGACGUCACACAGGCACAAUAAAUAUGUCUAACGUGAAAAGCUUUUAAGUGGAAAAAAUUCAAAUCAAAAAUAUUUUACUUUUUUUGUCUUUAUGCAAUCAAACAAACUGUGUUUGAGGCCCAAAAAUAACUGUACUGUAAUGAAAAUAUAAAAGAUUGCAAAUAAAAAGUCUUCAAACUGUAAUAAGAAAAAACAGUUGUAUCAAUUCUAGCAGUUUUAUCAAGCCCACACAGAUUCUGCUCUACUGUCAAAUGCUUAAAAAAAUUAAACCGCUUUUAGUAGAGGUUUAAAUGUAAUUUUGCACAAAUUUAUUUUCCAAACAGCUGAUAAGCACAGUCUGAUCAAAUUAAGAGAUCAGCUUAUAAAGGGCUAUGAAAGCGAAGAGGACUGUGGUCGUGGAAAAAGGAAGAGAAAAGCUCUUUGCAUCUCUUCUGAUGAUGAAGAGCCUGCGGAGAAGGACAUAAUUAAGAAAAAGCCUGAAAAGAGGCCUAGUCUCUUAUCAAAACUGCUGGAAAAGCGCAAGGAGCAGUUAAUUGGCAGUACAGCUGUACAGGAAUGCACAAAUUGCUGUGCCUUGAAAGAAAAAAUAAAGCAGCUGGAAGAAGACAACAGAAGAGUAGUUCUUCACUUGGACACCAUAAAUGGUAAACAACAUUUCAGGCCUUCUUUGUAGUCUAUGUAAAGAUAGUGCAUUGUUAUAAUUGAUAGAGAUUUAUAGGGGCUCUUUACAUCUGCCCACUUCAUGCGUUUUAUCUAUUCGAUCAUGAAAAGAUCAGGUGUAAAUGCUCUCCGUAAUGCAUUCAAGGCAGA
ensembl:lncRNA